GACGAACGCUGGCGGCGUGCUUAACACAUGCAAGUCGAACGGAAAGGCCCUGCUUUUGUGGGGUGCUCGAGUGGCGAACGGGUGAGUAACACGUGAGUAACCUGCCCUUGACUUUGGGAUAACUUCAGGAAACUGGGGCUAAUACCGGAUAGGAGCUCCUGCUGCAUGGUGGGGGUUGGAAAGUUUCGGCGGUUGGGGAUGGACUCGCGGCUUAUCAGCUUGUUGGUGGGGUAGUGGCUUACCAAGGCUUUGACGGGUAGCCGGCCUGAGAGGGUGACCGGCCACAUUGGGACUGAGAUACGGCCCAGACUCCUACGGGAGGCAGCAGUGGGGAAUAUUGCACGAUGGGCGGAAGCCUGAUGCAGCAACGCCGCGUGCGGGAUGACGGCCUUCGGGCUGUAAACCGCUUUCGCCUGUGACGAAGCGUGAGUGACGGUAAUGGGUAAAGAAGCACCGGCUAACUACGUG
rnacentral:rRNA from 1 species